UUUUGAACAGGAGGUGAUGUUUCUAAAGAUAGUAUUCCAUGAAAGAGGAGUGUUUCCAGAAAGGGGUUUAACAAAGUAUAUCAAAGGUCACUUUGACAAAUAGAACAUACAGGAAUUUGUUUGUACAGGAAUUUGCAUAAAGCAGUGUGCAGAGUAAAAGGUUAGAAGAUUUUCUAACAGAGGAAACAGAUCUGGAAAGAAUAAUAAGAGGAUGGAGAAGAAGAGGUGUCAAAAAGGAAACCCUUCAUGCUCAAAUUACUGACCAUAACUGAAGACAGAAAAACAAGAAAGAAAAAAGGAGUCAAAUAACUAGAUUUCAGAGAAAGGAAUGUCCAGAGCACUGAGUGAUUACAGAAGUCACCCAAGAAUGCAAUGCGCUGAACUGUUUACAUAGGGCAACAGCAGUUUUCAGAGAGACAGAUAGUGGAUUGAGGACAAGUAACGGUCAGAUGAGAAAUCAAGUCGGGGUCGUGACCAAGAAGGCUAAUAUUAAAUAAACAAAGAUCAGGAUGUGAGGCAAAAUCCUAGUCAAAGAACAGAGUGACAACCAAACAGGAUAUGAAAAACAGCAAAAUGUGAGACUAUGAAGAAAGUGAAGACGUAACAUCACUAAGAAAACGGUUUUUUGAGUUGGAAUUACUGAUGCACAGACAUCUGAAGUUUAUUACAUAGAAAAUCACCUGAAAAAUCCCAGACCAUUGAGAAGUGUGCGAACUGACGACAUGAAGAAUCGUCUUUGCUCCGAAGUGGACUCGUCCCCACGUAAAUGAAAGUCUUCCAGACGAUCUGGAUCUGCAUAAUUAGAUUUGGACCACCCUGUAGUACUCAAAUGUGGCAAUUAGUGCCACGGC